rnacentral:misc_RNA from 1 species
GAAAUGCGAUAAGUAAUGUGAAUUGCAGAAUUCAGUGAAUCAUCGAAUCUUUGAACGCACCUUGCGCUCCUUGGUAUUCCUUGGAGCAUGCCUGUUUGAGUAUCAUGAAAUCUUCAAAGUAAAUCUUUUGUUAACUCAAUUGGUUUCUACUUUGGUAUUGGAGGUCUUUGCAGCUUCACACCUGCUCCUCUUUGUUCAUUAGCUGGAUCUCAGUGUUAUGCUUGGUUCCACUCGGCGUGAUAAGUUAUCUAUCGCUGAGGACACUGUAAAAGGUGGCCAAGGUAAAUGCAGAUGAACCGCUUCUAAUAGUCCAUUGACUUGGACAAUACUUUUAUGAUCUGAUCUCAAAUCGGGUAGGAAUACCCGCUGAACUUAAGC